GCUUUUUCUGUCUUAUUAUCUUCCGCUGCGCUUCUUUGCUUCACCUGAAAAUGCUCAGCAUUGCUCUUGUGUUGUUAACACAAUCGGUGUCUUUUAAGCUCCCAAAGCUGAGAAAAAGCCUGAAGAGAAGCCAACCGCAGCUGUGAAGGAGCCGUCGCCACCAAAAGGUACCAACAUACUCUGAUGUUGGCAUGUAGCUGUGUAAUACUACAUUUAUCUGUGGUUUCUCAUGUUUUUUAAACUUUUAAAAUCAUUUAAUGUGAUUAUGUCUGUGUAAAUGGUAUUGGGUGUGAAAUUUCACUUAAUUUCACUGACAUUUUUGAAGUACCUGAGGCCAAAAAGCCAGUGGAAGAAAAGGUUCCUGCAGUUUCAGUCGCAGAAAAGAAGAAAGUUCCUGCUCCAAAAGGUAGAGAUGUCUUGAUUUUUUAACAUCUCUCUACUGAAAAUCUUCCUCUUUGCAGACAACACUGUCCUAAUAUUUGACUAUUGAUUCAGUUUUGUUCCUUUCGUCGUCUGGUUUUUUUUUUACUUUGUGGUUGAUCAUGUGUUUGAAUGUAUCUUAAAAGAAGCAGAGGAGGUUAAGAAGCCUGCUGCUGCUGCUCCCUCGCCGCCUGCCGGGAAGCCUGGAGUGCCAGAGAAAGAUAAGGCCAAGCCUCAGGUACCAGCUGAGCCCAAAAAAGUGGCGCCUGCAGCUAAGCCUGAGCCUGAACCAAAACCGAAAGCAGAACCUGAACCAAAGCCUAAGCCCGCACCGGCACCGGCACCCAAAGCAGAAUCUGAAGCCAAACCUGUGGCAAAGGUGGAGCCUGAAGCUAUGCCGGUGCCGGUAAAGAAGCCGACACCACCGUCCAAAGUCCCUGAAGAGGCUGCAAAACCAGAGCCGGCAAAGAUCAAGCCUGAACCGGCAGUAAAAAAGCCAGAACCAGAGGUUCGAAAAGCCCAAACCCAAACCAGAAAAAACAAAACCAGAAGUCCAUAAACCUGAGCCUCUCGAACCUGCCGUUGCUAAGCCAGAACCGCCCGUUCCAAAACCAGAGCCUGCUAUGGUAUCCAAACCUGAACCAGCAGUUAAAAAAGCUGAACC
rnacentral:lncRNA from 1 species